rnacentral:rRNA from 1 species
UGCAGUCGAGCGAAAGUUUUAUCACCAGAUGCUUGCAUCUACCGAUAANGCUUUUAGCGGCGGACGGGUGAGUAACACGUGGGCAACCUGCCCAAAAGAGGGGGAUAACACCUGGAAACAGGUGCUAAUACCGCAUAACUCAAGAAACCACAUGGUUUCUUGAUAAAAGAUGGUUCUGCUAUCGCUUUUGGAUGGGCCCGCGGCGCAUUAGCUAGUUGGUAAGGUAACGGCUUACCAAGGCAAUGAUGCGUAGCCGAACUGAGAGGUUGAUCGGCCACAUUGGGACUGAGACACGGCCCAGACUCCUACGGGAGGCAGCAGUAGGGAAUCUUCCACAAUGGACGAAAGUCUGAUGGAGCAACGCCGCGUGAGUGAAGAAGGUCUUCGGAUCGUAAAACUCUGUUGUUAGAAAUGAACAUACACGAUAGUAACUGCUCGUGUACUGACAGUAUCUAACCAGAAAGCCACGGCUAACUACGUGCCAGCAGCCGCGGUAAUACGUAGGUGGCAAGCGUUGUCCGGAUUUAUUGGGCGUAAAGGGGACGCAGGCGGUCUUUUAAGUCUGAUGUGAAAGCCUUCGGCUUAACCGAAGUAGUGCAUUGGAAACUGGAAGACUUGAGUGCAGAAGAGGAGAGUGGAACUCCAUGUGRAGCGGUGAAAUGCGUAGAUAUAUGGAAGAACACCAGUGGCGAAAGCGGCUCUCUGGUCUGCAACUGACGCUGAGGUCCGAAAG